UCAGGGCCAACAAUACCAGCUGUAGUGCUGAAACAAGCACGAUUCCAUCAUUUGUUACCGGUUCCUUUUGCUCGAUAGCAGGCUCUUUUUGUUGGAUGUGGUAUAAUUAUAUGCCGACAGAUAUUGACAGGUGUAUAAUGUAGUAUAUAUUCCUAAUUCCUCCAAUGUCUUAAUAGCAUGAAGAAUGUAGCACUUCAGGUCCUCAUCAAGUAAGGUUUCCAUUUAAGCAUGGUGUCCAUGCAUGCUAUUGUUAACUUUGCUGACAAUGGCAGCUUAGUGAUCACCGUGUUUGUUAAAUUUAAUUUUCACCUCCGUGUAAUGUAUCAUAGUACUAUGCACAAAGAUACUUCAACACUAAAGCUCGCACCUAACUUGCUCGGGUCUCGGCUCAUGAUUCUUUCAACUUUCAUGUAGUGCUGCUGAAAUAUUAUGUAACACUCAAAUUUGAUGAUAUUUUUAAUGGGCACAACUGUGCCGGUAGAGGUUGACAGUUAAUGAAUUUUGUGAUAAUCUUCGGUUAUACUGUUAUAUAUAGCACUUUGCUGGUUAUAUGGUUCACAUUCUCUGAGCCAAUUCACAAUGACCAUUCCUGAUUUGGGCAUUAUGUUUUUAAAUCAUUUUGUAACAUUUUGGUUGAUUUUUUAUGCUGCUCCUUAAUUUUUUUCAUUGACUGGUGUUGAACUAAAUGAGUGUUGCCAUUCACAGGAUGCCCAGUACAACCGAAGAUGGUUUCCCGAUUGUUCCUAGAUAUUUCAGAGCAACUAGAGUGGUCUUACCUGACAAGCUCCAAUGUUGUGCUGAAGUAUUUUGAACAAGCUUGUCCUUUGCCUUAUGCUGGAACAAGGCACCUUCUAUUCCCCAUGGGCACCAAGAAUGCGAAAACAUUGAUGAUUCGAGCAAAUGUAAGUUCAGGCUUCAAGAUUGAGCCGAGCGCCCUACCAGCAGAUCUGGAUAAUGCAUACAAGAAUGAGAAAGCAUAUCAGCGAUUGGAUAUUUCUGGCCCUACAGUUAACCCUUUUGUUUUUUCCUGUACGGCGAGGGCGAGAUAAAAGAUAUGCUUUCUGUUUGUGCUGAGCAUGGAGCUUGGGUAGUGAUAGACACCUUCUCUGGUCUGGAGUUCCACAACAGAGAUGGCUGGAUUUUGCGGAAUGGGUAAUUUUUUUAUUAUAGCAUUUGCUUAUAUGACCUUUCCUUGGUCAAACAUAUUUCACAAGUAAUUUGUUUUCUUCAAAAAGGAGGAUAUUUUCACAAGCCCAAACCGACCACAUAGCACUUUGAAAUGCACUUAUAGGAAGUUGUUGGUUUUGAAAAACAAGAGGGAUCAACAUUUCUCUAAUCUCAUCACGCCAACAAACUGACGAAGACACUCGAGAGCUGUGGUUGGGAUGUCGCCAGGUACCACUGUGGGAUGUCGCCAGGUACCACUGUGACACGCGUACAUCGGCAAAUCGUUCAGGGUGGAUGAUUUUGAAGGCGAGCUCGACGGCUGCAAUAUCAGGGAAGCCCUACUGAACUACUGCAGGUUCAGCUUACCAUGUAGUAUUUUCUUUACAACAAGGCCUCACACGAGCAAAACUGUCAUCUUGUUGUUUAGUUUUGGCCCGGGACUGCAAUUUUUUCCCUUAUUGCAUUCUUUAGUGCAUAAAAUAAAAUAUAUAAUGUGCAUAAAAGCCGAAAACAACCAUUACGAUCAUAGUAGGCGAACUGAAAUUGUAGGGAUAUAAAGCAGUACCUGAACAUACAAAAGCUGGCCACAACUCUGUCUUCAAUUCCAUCUUGUUUCCAGAUUUCAGGAGUAGAUCAUCACCACCAUUACAGAUCAGGCUCUUUGUCAGUGCAAAUAACAGACUAACACCACAAGGACUUCAUUAACCUUAGCCACUUCUUAUGGGUACAUGAGAACUAAAAAAAUUCAUCUGUUAAAAUUUGUUUUUUUGACUUUUUGGACUAAUUCAUGUGCAGAAUUUAUAUUUUCAAUUAGACUGAUUUAUUGUAGUUUUAUCAACGACUAUAGUAUAUUAAGAUGUGGGCACUAUAUCGAAAGUGUUGUUCUACACCCGAGGUCAUGUGAGCUUGGUUGAACAGUAAAAUAAAUAAAAAAUGGAAAAACAAUUCAAAAAAUGUGAUUUCUUUCCGUGUGAGACACUGAAAAAAUGUUUAUUAGCUUGCAAAAUUUCAAUACUAUCUUUCUUGACUGAUUGUUUGUGGUCUGCCAUGAGCCCACGACGUAGCCAUCUGCAUCUGCCUCGCCUUGAGGCCACAGCAGCACCCCUGCCCUUCUGCUCCUGCUGGCGACCGCAACCCUCUGGCGGCAGCAACACCGCUCUCGUGUGCUGGCCUUGCUGUCUCAUCUCCUCUCUCUCUCAUGUUUGGGUAUGAUGUUAGCGUUAUGUGUGUGUGGAUGGAUAUGAUGCUACCAUGGUGUGUGUAAAAAUCUAUUUUUGGUUUAUUUCUCUUUGGAGUAUUGCUGUUGGAGAUGAGCUUAAGAGGCGAAAGAGUAAAGAUCUGGUAAGCUGUUUGUAUUGCUUCAGGAGAAUCUUUUAUCACUGUUUUUGGGACUGUAUUUAUGUCAAAGAGGCAUGUAGGGAGCUGGAACAAAUUUGUUACUUCUCAUGGCCACUUUUUUGAACAUGAUUAUUGAGCUUGACUAUGCGGAGGUAGGAAAAAAUAUCAGCGUAAUGGGUUUGAGAGA